rnacentral:rRNA from 1 species
UACGUAGGGUGCAAGCGUUAAUCGGAAUUACUGGGCGUAAAGCGUGCGCAGGCGGCUAUGCAAGACAGAUGUGAAAUCCCCGGGCUCAACCUGGGAACUGCAUUUGUGACUGCAUGGCUAGAGUACGGUAGAGGGGGAUGGAAUUCCGCGUGUAGCAGUGAGAUGCGUAGAUAUGCGGAGGAACACCGAUGGCGAAGGCAAUCCCCUGGACCUGUACUGACGCUCAUGCACGAAAGCGUGGGGAGCAAACAGG